GACGUAGGGCGCGAGCGUUGUCCGGAUUUAUUGGGCGUAAAGAGCUCGUAGGCGGCUUGUCGCGUCGACUGUGAAAUCCCGCGGCUCAACUGCGGGUCUGCAGUCGAUACGGGCAGGCUAGAGUUCGGUAGGGGAGACUGGAAUUCCCGGUGUAGCGGUGAAAUGCGCAGAUAUCGGGAAGAACACCCGUGGCGAAGGCGGCUCUCUGGGACGGUACUGACGCUGAGACGCGAAAGCGUGGGGAGCGAACAGG
rnacentral:rRNA from 1 species